GACGAACGCUGGCGGCGCGCUUAACACAUGCAAGUCGAGCGAGAUCCGGCCCUUCGGGGCCGGGGAAAGCGGCGAACGGGUGAGUAACACGUGGGUAAUCUGCCCUCGGCACCGGGAUAGCCCGGGGAAACCCGGAUUAAUACCGGAUGGCCCGCCGAUCCUUCGGGAUCGCCGGAAAAGGUAGCUUCGGCCUCCGGCCGAGGAGGAGCCCGCGGCGGAUUAGCUUGUUGGCGGGGUAACGGCCCACCAAGGCGACGAUCCGUAGCUGGUCUGAGAG
rnacentral:rRNA from 1 species